rnacentral:lncRNA from 1 species
GAAAUGCAAUGCCGCAUGCGUUUCUGACUCUGAUCUCUGAAAGUGGUUUGAUUUUAAGUAUAGCUAACUUGACCACUUGUGAUUGGAUCAUCAGAGACUUAAUAUUACAUGUAAACAGGACGAGGCAUGAUCCGUUUUUAAAAAAUAUGUUGUGUCGUGAUGGACUGUGCAGCUCUACCGAAGCCUGUUAACAUGCUAAAUGAAAAUCAGAUCAUUGUAUGGCCCACACAUAUUUUGUUUACUAGAUUUUGUUUAACUUUUGUUUACAUGUCUUUGGCUUACUGGAAAACAGUCAGAGAAUCUCUUUUGUUUUUGAUUGCUGUAAUGUUUUUUCCAGAGCCAAGGGACCAAAACAUCUAAAUAAUUUUUUUGACCCACACAUAUAAACAUAGGUUUGUAAUUAUAAAUGCAGACUUAGACUGUGCUUAGUCAUCUCCUGUCUUCAUGGAGGUCUCUGGACCGUAAGUCACUAUGACCUCUUUCAUAUUUAUAAUGAGCCCCAAAAAGUACUUGAACACCUAAUAAUAUCUGAAUACAUCAAACCAAGUGACAUCUGCAUUCAGAUGUAUUUAAUCUCUUCUUUUUUUUUAAAUAAAUACCACUAGAUAUGACAUUCAAACAUUUUUAAGAGUGUCCUUUUGGGACGACUGUAUGGAUUUGGUCAACUAUAGAUAGAUGCACAUCCUGGGUUGAGAUUUUGAAUACUUUGUUGUAUGUGCAUUAUGCAUUUAAUGUCUAUUUUGUCUGUUGUCUUUUAGCCCUCUUGGAUGUCUUUGUUCCUGUCCGUCAGAGAGCUGGUGCUGGAAGCCUGUAGGAGGCGCGGCGUCCCCGUCUACAGCCGACCGCGCAGACUACAGCGCAGAGAUGAGCACGAGAGAGACAGAGGGAGGAAAAGCAGGCAUGAUGGAGCCAACAAUUAUCUGGCACUCCGUCCCUCGCAUAUUCACUUUCUGCUUGUGGAAUUGAGGGCAGGCGGGGCUGCUCUUUUGAGUCCGGGGUCCGUUUUGUGGGAAACUGUCUCUGCUAUGACAGAGAAGAGAGACUGUGGGCAUUUU